rnacentral:rRNA from 1 species
UAGGGAAUCUUCCGCAAUGGACGAAAGUCUGACGGAGCAACGCCGCGUGAGUGAUGAAGGUUUUCGGAUCGUAAAGCUCUGUUGUUAGGGAAGAACAAGUACCGUUCGAAUAGGGCGGCACCUUGACGGUACCUAACCAGAAAGCCACGGCUAACUACGUGCCAGCAGCCGCGGUAAUACGUAGGUGGCAAGCGUUGUCCGGAAUUAUUGGGCGUAAAGGGCUCGCAGGCGGUUUCUUAAGUCUGAUGUGAAAGCCCCCGGCUCAACCGGGGAGGGUCAUUGGAAACUGGUGAACUUGAGUGCAGAAGAGGAGAGUGGAAUUCCACGUGUAGCGGUGAAAUGCGUAGAGAUGUGGAGGGACACCAGUGGCGAAGGCGACUCUCUGGUCUGUAACUGACGCUGAGUAGCGAAGGCGUGGGGGGCGUGCA